rnacentral:lncRNA from 1 species
AAGUACUUGCUAUAGCUAUCUUAAUUUGGCUUUCAAGUCAUUAUUGGAGAUCAAUAUUCAUUCAAGAUUUAACGGCACAAGGCAACCAUGUCCAAAAUUUAUCCCAGUGAGAACAAACGCAAUGAAUUGAAACCGAAAGGAGAUGAUGAUUGCCGUUUACGCCCGAGCAUGCUCACUGUGUGGAAGAGAUCAAGCAUGAGCUUCCAAGGCACUGAUGGGUUCACAGUGUUUGAUCAGCAAGGGAGAUUAGUUUUCCGUGUUGAUAAUUACUCGCGGAAUCAUCCUUGUGUUGCUGCUUCCGGUCUAGUGCUCAUGGACGGAGCUGGCAAUGCUCUGCUUUCUUUAAAACCCCAGGUAUAUAUACGUGUGUGUGUGUGUGUGUGUGUGUGUGUGUGUGUUGUGCAAAGGCUUUACAACACCGCACUUUAUGAAUCUCUGAUGAAACUUUUGUGCAUGGCUAUGGACAGAUACUGAGCAUGCAAAACCAGUGGAACGCGUACAGGGAAGAGGAUGGAUGUGGAAAGAGCAGUCCGAGGUGUAAAGUAUUUUCGAUGAGGAGCUCAUCGAUGGCGUUCUUCGGUGGCGGCAAGGAUAAGGCGGAGGUGUUCAUGGGGUCAGCAUCAGGACGAGGUAGACAACAAAGGGGGACGACGCCGGAUUUCAGGAUUGAGGGUUCUUUCAGGAAUCGAAACUGCAAGAUAAGUAAUGCGGAAGGACAAGUCGUGGCCAAGAUUGCGAGGAAGAGAGUCAUGAACUCUACCGUAAUGCUAAGCGACGACGUUUUUAGCUUAGUUAUACAACCUGGUUAUAGCAGUGAGCUUAUUAUGGCUUUUGUAAUUGUACUGGAUCGCAUCUCCACCAAGCCGUAUACUCCUGCUUUGUGUUCUUGAUGACUUUGUACUUUUUUCUUCUUUUUGUGUACACAAAAAGCCCACGUAAAUAAUUCAUACAAGUUUUGGAUUUUGCUUCCUUGGCCGUGGCCAAUGGGAAGAAGAGAUAGCUGGACAGGAGUCAUCAAAAGAUUUUGUUCACAAGCAUGCAAUAUUGCGCUUGAAUUGAUGACACGAUUGUUCAUCUUGUAAAAUAAAUAAAGAAAUCAUAUAUUUAAAUUCGAUCAGUAGUCCGGAAUCAAGGGAAGAAAUCAUCUGAAUUAAAAAAUGACAGAUUUUCCGUUAUUAUUUUAAAUUUUUGCAUUGCAAUAAUUUUCCUAAUUUCCAAGCUAAUUAAGGGAGUCAAAAUUCGAUUGGCUGAAUAUAGGUGGAGGAAAGAUUAGUUUUGUUCAUAUAUAUGUAUAUCCAGGAAUAAUAAUAUCAGAAUUUUUAAAAUAUUUGCCUUUCCAUUGCUUGUGCUUCUAUUCAUUAGUGUUAAAUUGUGGAAUUGACAAAAGACAUCUACGCAUUAAGAAUGUGGUCUAGCUACUAAUAUUUCUUUAGCGGCUGGUUAGAAGAUGAAGUGUUAAGAUAGUCGUAUACAAGUCUAUCGCACAGUCAAUGUCCUUCGUCACAGAGGAUGAACAGUAGGUUGGCGAAUCAGAUGGAAAAGCCCAUGUGUUUUUUUUUUUAGAUAAUUCCUUUAUCUGAAUCCUAAACAAAAGUGCUCUUCUCAAUCUCAGCUGAAGAGGAAAUGAGAUCAAAUUGCCAGAUAAAUGCUAAAUCUGUCGUGUUGAAAACGUUAUGUGUCAUUACAUGAAUGCUUGCCAACAAGCAUAUAACCGGCUCAACUCAACUCUAUCCUAAACUUUUAAUUAUCACCUUGGAACAAAAUUCCAAGAAUCCGGCUCUACAAAAUACAAGUACAGAAUCGCAUUGUAAGACUAACUCAGCAAUUGUAUGAUCUUGAGACUGUUCGUUGCACAAACGCCAACCCUAUUCAGUUAUCCAUAUUGCCAAUACAACAAAAAUCCGUUCUACUUGCAAGUGAUAACUACAGAAAGAAUGAGUAUGCACCCAAUGACCGGCCACGUAUGUGCACCAGAUGAUAUAUCAUCAGUCAAUCACCAGACACAAAAGUCUUGCCCUCAUAGUACCUUUUCUCGCUUGCAUUCUUUUUCUCAUUUCGUUUCUGCAGAAGAAAGAAACACAUUUUCAUUUCUCCGUGGAUUAAACAGAAAAAAACACCAACACAGCAAACAAACAAACAUUAAGCAUUUAAUGGUCAUAGCACCAAACUGCUCAAUGGACGCGUUAGAACAAGCCCAUAACUCCCAUACUAUAAUUUCGAGAAGACAAACCUAUUACGCAUACAACAGCUUUAAACAGGUUGAUUCUCCCAUCUUCAUACAUAUGUUACACUGACUUGCCAACUACUAGAACAACCAUCACAUGCUCCCCAAGGUCGGAAGAGCAGUGAAUAGGUCUUUUUUCAGGCACAUAUUAAAAGGCAAGUUUUGCAGAGGGAACUCUUUUCUUUCAGCCAAUAGUCAAGUGGCUUCUUUCUUAAAACAUGUGGUAAAAACAUGCUAAGUUGAUCAAGAGCAUCAAAUAACAAGGUUUUUGAAGGUAGGUGAACCUGAUAUGCCUCAUGAUUUGAUACAAUCCUCCUAAUUAUCGUGGCAGUAGUAAUAUCGAGUGGACUUUCCAGAACUUUGAAGAUACCCACGCUAAUUGGAAUAGCGUAUGGAUUGCCAUCAUCCUAUAUAACAAAAAUAAUCUGUCAGCGAAAAGGUGUAUCUUGGCACCACAAUAAUCAGUGGUCAACUCUUUGUAACCACAUGCAACUAGAAACUUCUACAAAAUUUACCUUCUGAAAAUCAUCGUUCUCAGCUACAGUUCCGUGGACAACUAAUGAUAUGUUGAAUGUUGUAAUCUGCAGCCCAAAAAAAAUUUAAAAAAAAAAAUCAAGUUAUAUCAUUAAUAAAGACCCAUGUCAUGACUUUGACCAGGCAUACUUGAACCAAAGAAGAAGGAAAAUUCUAAGACAUAAUCUAAUUCGAAAAAUGAGCUAGGAAAGUCCACAAGAGUCAAGAUCCUAGAAUUCAACUGAAUAGUCAAUUCUUUGCUUCUUUCCUUCAAGAUAUCUAAUAUUCUUCUCUCCGAGCCUACAGCGAAAAACAUGUUGUUGGAAAAAUUUGUUCUUUAAAAGUAUACGUGUUUAUUUAAUUGUAAUAAAUAAUUUUUUUGAUUAAUAAAAUAAAUAAGAAUUUUCUUUAAAUAUCUUAAUUGCAUUAAUAUUUUGAGUAAAAUCAAUUUAAUCAUAUUAUAUGUAUUUAUGUGAUCAAUAUGUGGAUUCACAAAAGACAUAAAUACAAGUUAUAUUAUGAUUAAAUAAAUUAAGUUUUGCAGUUGAUAAAUAAAGUACUCAAGUUUUGCAGUUGAUAAAUAAAGUUGAGUACUUUAUAUAGGUAUAGACUGUAAUAAAUUCAUUGAAUGAUUUGUCUUAAUCAUGUAUGAAUUUAUUGAUGUAGUCGUUGAGCACUUUAUUUAGGUAUAGUCUGUAAUAAAUUCAUUAAAUGAUUUGUCUUAAUCAUGUAUGAAUUUAUUGAUGUAGUACAACUAUAUUGAACAGGAUCACAAAUGAGAUUUAAUUAACUUUGUAAUAACUGUCAGACUUAUUAAAUCUCAUAGGCAUUGAUUUUACUAUACUCUUAAUCUUGAGUUAGAUAUAAUUUCAUGAUUGUAAUUGUUAUUCCAUUUGAGUUACCAAUGGGCACGACACACACUUGUAGUCAAGAUUACUCGGUAUCUUGGUGGGAGCAAUUAUGAAUAUUGGAAUUAUAGAUUAGCAAUAUAGAAUUUGUACAACACAUCUCUUGAUGAGUUUUCGGCACUUGAUCAUAAAAUUCUUUGGCCAGAGUUUGUCAACAUAUUUAAUAUGUUGAAAAUGAUAAUUAGAGAAAACCAAUAAGUAUUAAGGAACAAGAUGUAAUUAAAUUAAUUGAACAAUUAAGAUAUCAAUUUAAUUAACGAUGUGGUACAAAUGAUUGUACAGUAAAGAAAUCAAUGUGGCAUGGGUCAAAUUAUUAUUCGAGAACACUAUCCUGAAUAACAUACAAUUAUGAAGGUCAAUUCAAAUCUUUUAGAGGAGUAGAUUUUGAAUUAAAUAAUUGGGUUAGUUUAAUUAUCGGCAUAAUUAUUGUACCCACUAUUGUAUGUACUCAAAUGAUCUCCGGGUUAACUCAUUUAAUUGACUGCGUCGCUACUGGAUUAAUAAGUAAGAUAACUAGUUGUUUGGGUUAAAGCCUAAAUAUAUUAUUUAGUGGGAGACUCCAUAAAAUAUGCUUGUGUGUAAGGGUCUUAUGUUAUUUUACAAGGUGGACCCUUAUAACAAGAAGAAGUAACGUUAUUUAUGGUUUUAUUAUUUUUUUAAUUUAAAUCAAAUGUGAUUUAAUAGAAUUAAUAAAUUAAUAAAUAUGAAGCCUAAGGUUUCCAUCAAAUAGAGAUAUAAAAAUGCUUAUUUUCUCAACAAGAAAAGGUGAAGCCACAUUAUACAGAUUAUAAAAAAAAAAAAGAUUUUUCUCUAAUUUUGAGAGAAAUAUUUUCUCCUACUAGUUACUUUUUAGUGGUGAUAAAAGCGCCCACACGUCAAGUGCAGAUCAAACGUGAGUCAUAACUUGGAAAAUCAUUGGUGACAGAUCGUGAUCUAACCGGAGUAGUGGUGACAGAUCGUGAUCUAACGGUCUAGAUUACUUUAGCUAAAAAAGUAAAGUUGAAUUGUCAAUGUAUGAUUUUUUAGAUUUUGAAUUCUUAUGUAUUGUAUGAGAUCGAUCUUAAAAGUUUUUAUAAAAAUUAAAAAACUGAUUUUUCUCCCACACGUGCAAUGUGUAUAUACAAACUCUCUUGACCAUUUGAAGCUAAGGGGAAAAAAAAAAAGAGAGAUCAAGUAAUUUUAAUUUUUAGAAAAAAAGAGUUCCCACAAGAUGGAUGUGGGAAUAACCGUCCCACACAAAGAAAAAGACCCCGGUGGGAUGCCAUCUAGCACAACCACAUCACUGACAGCUAGCUAGUGCUUCCUAAAAAUUAUUAGUAGCAUCCACCAUUUCUAACUUCCAAACAUGCAUCACUCAGAGAAACUCAGACUCCAGCACCGAUUCCUUCAUGGCCAAUGCAUCUUGCACUCUUAUGCAAAGCUAACACAAGUAUUUUAGAUAACCCAGAAAUGAGUAAACUAGAUAUCACCAGAUGUAUAUAUAUUAACUAAUAAUUUCCAGGCGUAACUACACUAGUACUAUUAAUAAUAUUUUCUGAUUUUUGAUUUCUCUGAAUCAAUCAUCCAAUUUUAAUCAAUAGUCAAGAGCUAUGAAUCAACGUUUGAGAAAACAUCUUUACUGAUGAUUUAAAUCAACAUAUAGCCUGACAAUUUAAAUAUCAACAUAAAGCCUAAUAACUAGCUUACAACGAGUAACACAAAAUGAAAGAUACUUGGAAGACACAAGGAAAAUAACAAGAAGUUAACAGAGAAACUAACCAUGUUUUUAGAAACUUCCCAGGGAGCACCAAUUAUAACCUCAUCAACGUAGCGACAAGCUAAAACACUUAAACUUCUUUCGUGAAGAUUCAUGAUAGGGCGAUGAGCUCCUCUUUAGCACUGCAGAGCCAUGUGAUUAAGUUUUCCAUAACACAUGAUAAAGGUCAGAAACUUCGCUCAAUUUUUCUUAGUAUAAAAAACGACUAUAGAAUCAGGGCAAAAGUCUAACAAAAUGAAGGAUAUAGAAGGAUUUUUAAACCUGACUGUUUGAUCAUUGUGUAUCCCAACAAGAAGAAAAUCUCCAAGCCCCCGAGCAAUCCUCAAAAUAUACAACACAAGAUAAUUGGCAAGAAAUACAAAAAUAAGUGUAAAAUAACAGAGAUAAAGAUAAAUUUAAAAAAGAAAAAGACAUGAUACAACUUAACCCAUAAUAAAAUAUGCAGUUAUGACACCAUCAAUUCUGAUAAGGAACGUUUGGAUUAAUUAAUUCCGCAUAUGCAUACACACUGGUCAAUAUUUUCUAACCAUCUACCCCACAUGUUUUUAGUUGAUUAAACUAGGAAUUUUUCACAUUCCUUUUUACGAUAUGCAGUUCGUUUUGACUAUAUAAAUUAAUAUAUUUAUGACAUUAAUUAUUAUUUGAUUUUUAUUACCGUUUAUUUAAUCAAUAGAUUAUUUAGAAUACAACGAUCGAUCGACCUAAUGAUGAUGACGCUAGGGCCACUUACCUCCAUAAACUUUCCCUUCUAAAUAAAAUUAAUUAACACACACAACACACACACACAAAAUCCCAUAUGGACUACAAAGUAAUCGAAUUUUCUAUUCCCAAACAUAUUCUAGUGACCCUCUAAUCCUAAUCCUAAUCCUAAUCCUAAUCCAGGUUAAAUUUUGUUUUUAUUCAUGGUGGAUGGUUACCAAAUACCACCUGCAAUUAAAAUGCACGCGUCUUAUACUGGAUGUGAGUUUCCUUUUAAAGUGACAUUUUAUAACUUUUUUUUUUCUUAUUUUAUAUGAAGAUUUUUCUAUGAUUUUGUAUGAAAUUUUACAACCCUGAAAAUAAUAAUCUUGUGAACCCUUGGAUUUAAGUCACCAUUGGUUUAAUUUAGUAUUAUAUAUAAUAACUACUUAAUAAUAAUUACUAUGUAAUAUUGAAGUUGCUGAGUUAUUUGCAGGUUCAUAGAUAUAAUUUUAUUUUUAAGUAAUUAAAAAAUGUUUUCUAAAUCACUAAAAAUAAAAACAUUAAAUAAGCUUACACACACGCAUGUUAAUGUGUACAUGAUAAAUAUGAAUUAGAAAAUCUUCAACAACACAUGCAUGUUGAUAGAAUAGUGAUCCCUUUUAUCAUGUAUAAUUGUAACAGUAUAAUUUUAAAUACUUGAUUUUACUCAUUGGCAUUACCCCAAUCUUUACUAAUCUAGCAAGUCUUUGUGAAGAAGCGAGACAAGAUGAAAAAUAUAGAAGUUUAGAUAAACUAUAUUGUUCGUUGUUAUUAUUUAACCUUAAAUAAAAACUUUUUUGGAUAUCAUUUUGAUUAAAUUUUUAAUUAUUAAAAUUAAAAUAUCAUCCUAACUAAAUUCCAAUUUUAUCAAUCAUUGAUCAAAUCUAAUUGUAUAUAUUUAUAUCGCAAGUGAUACAGUAAUUUUUAUAACUGCUAUACAGGGAUGACAAUCAGCAUCGUCCGCAACGAGUUUACUGUUACCAAACCCACACCCGCACCCGUUGUGGGUUUUAAUUUUUUAGAAAAAUCAACUUGCUACGGGUUUUGAUAAUUACCAAACCUGCAAUGGUACCCAGAGGAUUCUCACAUUUAAAAUCACAAAUGUACAAUAUGUAAAUUUUAUAUUAAUAACCUGAAAUUCCACAAUUCUAAAUUUAAUCAAUGUAAAUAGAAAAUUAAAAUUUCAACAUUAAUUCAACAUAAACUCUCAAAUUUAAGUAUGAAAUAUAUAAAUCCAUUAAAAAAAACCACAAAUGUAAUGAAAAAUUCAUGGGUUUGCGGCUGCGGAUCACGGGUGAAAGGGAAAUGGGUGUGCGGCUGUUGCUCACAGGUGAAAGGGAAAUAGUUUGGAAGGCUAGGCUUUGCGGCUGCCGCUUAUAAGUGAAAAUGAAAUAGUUUGGGUUUCCUUUAGGUUGGGUUAUGAGUUACAACUUACACACACCACACAUGACAUGUUUACACUUUACAUUUAUUUAAUUUAUAUAUUUUUAGAUUUAAUUAUUUUUUAUUUAAAAUUACAUUGAAAAUAUUUGAGAAAAAAAAACCGCGGGUUUGGCGGAUAUCCCUGCGGCUAUCCAUCGGAUAUUUAGCUAAUACCAAACUCAGCCGCAACGUAAUGUGGGGUUCAAUUUUUAAUACUAAACUCGCCCACAACCUAUAAAAUUACCCACAACGGGCGAAUUUUGACAGGUGAAUUUAGACAAAUUUACGGGUGCCAUUGCAUCCCUACUGUAGUAUUAAAAAAUGACCCCUUAUAUAUAGAAAUAUAUCCUAGUACGGGCUACAGACAGUGACCUAAUUAGAGGAGUGCUUAUAUUUUAAUUUCAUGGAGAAAAUGAUACCACGUAGAUUAACCAAAUCAAAAAAAUUCAACUCGGUGGUUAGACGAGUUAGUGCUUUGAUGACUCAAAACCGAGGGCACUAAGCCAAGUUGGACGAUUAAUUAACAAUUAAAUCAAUAUUUUAGAGGCACUAAUACUCGUUUCCACAUGGUUAAUGUUGGAAAAAAAGACCUUGGGUGUGAUUGACCAUCUGUCAUUCAAACCCUUAUCUCGCUUGUUUUCAUUCAUAAGAUUUCACGUAGAGGAAUCAAACAUGACUACAACUGUUAUCGCCUUCAUGCUUAUGGAGGGUAUCAUUGAAUUCUUCGAGUAGCGACAAGCAGCUAAAAAAACAACCGAUUAAUAAGCUUUUACGCAUUCAACUAAAAAGCCCACAUGAAAAUAUUAGGCACAUAGUGGGUACUAGGUCUCCCGCCGCUAGCUUUGAAUUAAAUUCCCCUUUUGCGAGCAAGUUGAGAGCUAAAUUUUCAUCGUCACGACAAAUUAUUGGCCACAUGAUGCAAGGUCUAAGAAGCUUCUAUAUAUGACCAUAAAAUCUUCUUACAAUUUAUUAAUUAAGACAAUAACACUUUUAUUCUCUCUAUUACUUCUAUCAAAGAAAUUAAAAUUUUAAAUUUCAAAAGGAUCCCCAACCUUAAAAUAUAUUAUGUAUAAUAUCAAGGGUUUCAAAAUGUGUAUAAAUUAAUUUAAAAAAAAAAAAAUAGAGGUUUUAUGCGGUAUAAAUUUUAAAAUUGGAUAAAAGAAUUUACUCCUAAAAUAAAUUUUUAUGAGUAAAAUUCACAUAAGUAAUUUGAGUUUAAUAGAUAUAAAGACUGAUUAAAUUCAACCAUUCAAUAUUAGUAUUAAUAGCACUAAAUCAUAAGAAGAUUAAUUCUUUCAAUUCAUCUAUCUAUUUAUUAGAGGAUUACACAUUACUCGCAAGAGUACUGAGCAAGAUUCGGUGGGUAAAGAAAAAUAAAAACCAUUGGCAAUUUGAAAUAUAAUACAUAUAAGACAUAAAGGUCCUGGCUACUGCCCUAUGCAUGUAGGUCGUGAUUCUUGUGACUUUAGAAGUCUACUUAUGAUGUUUGGUAGUGGCUACACACGGGGGAAUAAACGAAAAUGAUGAUUUUCCUUUUCCUUAAUUCCUAGACCGCCAACUUUUUUGCGUGCCCCAACACAACUUAUAUAAACUAAAAUCAUGUGUACGCAUAACAAGCAAAAGCAGGAGCAGCAUAAAAACUAGAUAACAACCCACUUCGCAAAAAGGAGGCGCGUCCCAUUAAUAAUCAAAUUAAUUGUACAUAUUAAGAUAAUUAUAACUCAUUUAUGUCGGUAUCUUAAAUACCAAUUCAUGGAUUGGUGGUGAUGAAUAAUUUAAAGAAAAAUUAAACCAGGUCACUGAUAGCUGCAUAAAGCUGGGGGCCUGGGGAAUUAAUUGUGUAAGCCACCAACGGAGACAUAACAUCCGAGACAAAGGAACUCUCGUUCCACGCACGUCUCUCUCUUUCUCUAUAUAUAUAUACAUGUAAAUAAGAUUAAAGUACUUGCUAUAGCUAUCUUAAUUUGGCUUUCAAGUCAUUAUUGGAGAUCAAUAUUCAUUCAAGAUUUAACGGCACAAGGCAACCAUGUCCAAAAUUUAUCCCAGUGAGAACAAACGCAAUGAAUUGAAACCGAAAGGAGAUGAUGAUUGCCGUUUACGCCGAGCAUGCUCACUGUGUGGAAGAGAUCAAGCAUGAGCUUCCAAGGCACUGAUGGGUUCACAGUGUUUGAUCAGCAAGGGAGAUUAGUUUUCCGUGUUGAUAAUACUCGCGGAAUCAUCCUUGUGCUGCUUCCGGUCUAGUGCUCAUGGACGGAGCUGGCAAUGCUCUGCUUUCUUUAAAACCCCAGGUAUAUAUACGUGUGUGUGUGUGUGUGUGUGUGUGUGUGUGUGUUGUGCAAAGGCUUUACAACACCGCACUUUAUGAAUCUCUGAUGAAACUUUUGUGCAUGGCUAUGGACAGAUACUGAGCAUGCAAAACCAGUGGAACGCGUACAGGGAAGAGGAUGGAUGUGGAAAGAGCAGUCCGAGGUGUAAAAUUUUCGAUGAGGAGCUCAUCGAUGGCGUUCUUCGGUGGCGGCAAGGAUAAGGCGGAGGUGUUCAUGGGGUCAGCAUCAGGACGAGGUAGACAACAAAGGGGGACGACGCCGGAUUUCAGGAUUGAGGGUUCUUUCAGGAAUCGAAACUGCAAGAUAAGUAAUGCGGAAGGACAAGUCGUGGCCAAGAUUGCGAGGAAGAGAGUCAUGAACUCUACCGUAAUGCUAAGCGACGACGUUUUUAGCUUAGUUAUACAACCUGGUUAUAGCAGUGAGCUUAUUAUGGCUUUUGUAAUUGUACUGGAUCGCAUCUCCACCAAGCCGUAUACUCCUGCUUUGUGUUCUUGAUGACUUUGUACUUUUUUCUUCUUUUUGUGUACAAAAAGCCCACGUAAAUAAUUCAUACAAGUUUUGGAUUUUGCUUCCUUGGCCGUGGCCAAUGGGAAGAAGAGAUAGCUGGACAGGAGUCAUCAAAAGAUUUUGUUCACAAGCAUGCAAUAUUGCGCUUGAAUUGAUGACACGAAUUGUUCAUCUUGUAAAAUAAAUAAGAAAUCAUAUAUUUAAAUUCGAUCAGUAGUCCGGAAUCAAGGAAGAAAUCAUCUGAAUUAAAAAAUGACAGAUUUUCCGUUAUUUUUUUAAAUUUUUGCAUUGCAAUAAUUUUCCUAAUUUCCAAGCUAAUUAAGGGAGUCAAAAUUCGAUUGGCUGAAUAUAGGUGGAGGAAAGAUUAGUUUUGUUCAUAUAUAUGUAAUCCAGGAAUAAUAAUAUCAGAAUUUUUAAAAUAUUUGCCUUUCCAUUGCUUGUGCUCUAUUCAUUAGUGUUAAAUUGUGGAAUUGACAAAAGACAUCUACGCAUUAAGAAUGUGGUCUAGCUACUAAUAUUUCUUUAGCGGCUGGUUAGAAGAUGAAGUGUUAAGAUAGUCGUAUACAAGUCUAUCGCACAGUCAAUGUCCUUCGUCACAGAGGAUGAACAGUAGGUUGGCGAAUCAGAUGGAAAAGCCCAUGUGUUUUUUUUUUUAGAUAAUUCCUUUAUCUGAAUCCUAAACAAAAGUGCUCUUCUCAAUCUCAGCUGAAGAGGAAAUGAGAUCAAAUUGCCAGAUAAAUGCUAAAUCUGUCGUGUUGAAAACGUUAUGUGUCAUUACAUGAAUGCUUGCCAACAAGCAUAUAAACCGGCUCAACUCAACUCUAUCCUAAACUUUUAAUUAUCACCUUGGAACAAAAUUCCAAGAAUCCGGCUCUACAAAAUACAAGUACAGAAUCGCAUUGUAAGACUAACUCAGCAAUUGUAUGAUCUUGAGACUGUUCGUUGCACAAACGCCAACCCUAUUCAGUUAUCCAUAUUGCCAAUACAACAAAAAUCCGUUCUACUUGCAAGUGAUAACUACAGAAAGAAUGAGUAUGCACCCAAUGACCGGCCACGUAUGUGCACCAGAUGAUAUAUCAUCAGUCAAUCACCAGACACAAAAGUCUUGCCCUCAUAGUACCUUUUCUCGCUUGCAUUCUUUUUCUCAUUUCGUUUCUGCAGAAGAAAGAAACACAUUUUCAUUUCUCCGUGGAUUAAACAGAAAAAAACACCAACACAGCAAACAAACAAACAUUAAGCAUUUAAUGGUCAUAGCACCAAACUGCUCAAUGGACGCGUUAGAACAAGCCCAUAACUCCCAUACUAUAAUUUCGAGAAGACAAACCUAUUACGCAUACAACAGCUUUAAACAGGUUGAUUCUCCCAUCUUCAUACAUAUGUUACACUGACUUGCCAACUACUAGAACAACCAUCACAUGCUCCCAAGGUCGGAAGAGCAGUGAAUAGGUCUUUUUUCAGGCACAUAUUAAAAGGCAAGUUUUGCAGAGGGAACUCUUUUCUUUCAGCCAAUAGUCAAGUGGCUCUUUCUUAAAACAUGUGGUAAAAACAUGCUAAGUUGAUCAAGAGCAUCAAAUAACAAGGUUUUGAAGGUAGGUGAACCUGAUAUGCCUCAUGAUUUGAUACAAUCCUCCUAAUUAUCGUGGCAGUAGUAAUAUCGAGUGGACUUUCCAGAACUUUGAAGAUACCCACGCUAAUUGGAAUAGCGUAUGGAUUGCCAUCAUCCUAUAUAACAAAAUAAUCUGUCAGCGAAAAGGUGUAUCUUGGCACCACAAUAAUCAGUGGUCAACUCUUUGUAACCACAUGCAACUAGAAACUUCUACAAAAUUUACCUUCUGAAAAUCAUCGUUCUCAGCUACAGUUCCGUGGACAACUAAUGAUUAAUAAGACCCAUGUCAUGACUUUGACCAGGCAUACUUGAACCAAAGAAGAAGGAAAAUUCUAAGACAUAAUCUAAUUCGAAAAAUGAGCUAGGAAAGUCCACAAGAGUCAAGAUCCUAGAAUUCAACUGAAUAGUCAAUUCUUUGCUUCUUUCCUUCAAGAUAUCUAAUAUUCUUCUCUCCGAGCCUACAGCGAAAAACAUGUUGUUGGAAAAUUUGUUCUUUAAAAGUAUACGUGUUUAUUUAAUUGUAAUAAAUAAUUUUUUUGAUUAAUAAAAUAAAUAAGAAUUUUUCUUUAAAUAUCUUAAUUGCAUUAAUAUUUUGAGUAAAAUCAAUUUAAUCAUAUUAUAUGUAUUUAUGUGAUCAAUAUGUGGAUUCACAAAAGACAUAAAUACAAGUUAUAUUAUGAUUAAAUAAAUUAAGUUUUGCAGUUGAUAAAUAAAGUACUCAAGUUUUGCAGUUGAUAAAUAAAGUUGAGUACUUUAUAUAGGUAUAGACUGUAAUAAAUUCAUUGAAUGAUUUGUCUUAAUCAUGUAUGAAUUUAUUGAUGUAGUCGUUGAGCACUUUAUUUAGGUAUAGUCUGUAAUAAAUUCAUUAAAUGAUUUGUCUUAAUCAUGUAUGAAUUUAUUGAUGUAGUACAACUAUAUUGAACAGGAUCACAAAUGAGAUUUAAUUAACUUUGUAAUAACUGUCAGACUUAUUAAAUCUCAUAGGCAUUGAUUUUACUAUACUCUUAAUCUUGAGUUAGAUAUAAUUUCAUGAUUGUAAUUGUUAUUCCAUUUGAGUUACCAAUGGGCACGACACACACUUGUAGUCAAGAUUACUCGGUAUCUUGGUGGGAGCAAUUAUGAAUAUUGGAAUUAUAGAUUAGCAAUAUAGAAUUUGUACAACACAUCUCUUGAUGAGUUUUCGGCACUUGAUCAUAAAAUUCUUUGGCCAGAGUUUGUCAACAUAUUUAAUAUGUUGAAAAUGAUAAUUAGAGAAAACCAAUAAGUAUUAAGGAACAAGAUGUAAUUAAAUUAAUUGAACAAUUAAGAUAUCAAUUUAAUUAACGAUGUGGUACAAAUGAUUGUACAGUAAAGAAAUCAAUGUGGCAUGGGUCAAAUUAUUAUUCGAGAACACUAUCCUGAAUAACAUACAAUUAUGAAGGUCAAUUCAAAUCUUUUAGAGGAGUAGAUUUUGAAUUAAAUAAUUGGGUUAGUUUAAUUAUCGGCAUAAUUAUUGUACCCACUAUUGUAUGUACUCAAAUGAUCUCCGGGUUAACUCAUUUAAUUGACUGCGUCGCUACUGGAUUAAUAAGUAAGAUAACUAGUUGUUUGGGUUAAAGCCUAAAUAUAUUAUUUAGUGGGAGACUCCAUAAAAUAUGCUUGUGUGUAAGGGUCUUAUGUUAUUUUACAAGGUGGACCCUUAUAACAAGAAGAAGUAACGUUAUUUAUGGUUUUAUUAUUUUUUAAUUUAAAUCAAAUAUGAUUUAAUAGAAUUAAUAAAUUAAUAAAUAUGAAGCCUAGGGUUUCCAUCAAAUAGAGAUAUAAAAAGGAUAUUUUCUCAACAAGAAAAGGUGAAGCCACAUUAUACAGAUUAGAAAAAAAAAAGAUUUUUCUCUAAUUUUGAGAGAAAUAUUUUCUCCUACUAGUUACUUUUUAGUGGUGAUAAAGGCGCCUACACGUCAAGUGCAGAUCAAACGUGAGUCAUAACUUGGAAGAUCAUUGGUGACAGAUCGUGAUCUAACCGGAGUAGUGGUGACAGAUCGUGAUCUAACAGUCUAGAUUACUUUAGCGAAAAAAGUAAAGUCGAAUUGUCAAUGUAUGAUUUUUUAGAUUUUGAAUUCUUAUGUAUUGUAUGAGAUCGAUCUAAAAGUUUUUAUAAAAAUUAAAAAACUGAUUUUUCUCCCACACGUGCAAUGUGUAUAUACAAACUCUCUUGACCAUUUGAAGCUAAGGGGAAAAAAAAAGAGAGAUCAAGUAAUUUUAAUUUUUAGAAAAAAAGAGUUCCCACAAGAUGGAUGUGGGAAUAACCGUCCCACACAAAGAAAAAGACCCCGGUGGGGAUGCCAUCUAGCACAACCACAUCACUGACAGCUAGCUAGUGCUUCCUAAAAAUUAUUAGUAGCAUCCACCAUUUCUAACUUCCAAACAUGCAUCACUCAGAGAAACUCAGACUCCAGCACCGAUUCCUUCAUGGCCAAUGCAUCUUGCACUCUUAUGCAAAGCUAACACAAGUAUUUUAGAUAACCCAGAAAUGAGUAAACUAGAUAUCACCAGAUGUAUAUAUAUUAACUAAUAAUUUCAGGCGUAACUACACUAGUACUAUUAAUAAUAUCUUUCUGAUUUUUGAUUUCUCUGAAUCAAUCAUCCAAUUUUAAUCAAUAGUCAAGAGCUAUGAAUCAACGUUUGAGAAAACAUCUUUACUGAUGAUUUAAAUCAACAUAUAGCCUGACAAUUUAAAUAUCAACAUAAAGCUAAUAACUAGCUUACAACGAGUAACACAAAAUGAAAGAUACUUGGAAGACACAAGGAAAAUAACAAGAGUUAACAGAGAAACUAACCAUGUUUUUAGAAACUUCCCAGGGAGCACCAAUUAUAACCUCAUCAACGUAGCGACAAGCUAAAACACUUAAACUUCUUUCGUGAAGAUUCAUGAUAGGGCGAUGAGCUCCUCUUUUAGCACUGCAGAGCCAUGUGAUUAAGUUUCCAUAACACAUGAUAAAGGUCAGAAACUUCGCUCAAUUUUCUUAGUAUAAAACGACUAUAGAAUCAGGGCAAAGUCUAACAAAAUGAAGGAUAUAGAAGGAUUUUUAAACCUGACUGUUUGAUCAUUGUGUAUCCCAACAAGAAGAAAAUCUCCAAGCCCCCGAGCAAUCCUCAAAAUAUACAACACAAGAUAAUUGGCAAGAAAUACAAAAAUAAGUGUAAAAUAACAGAGAUAAAGAUAAAUUUAAAAAGAAAAAGACAUGAUACAACUUAACCCAUAAUAAAAUAUGCAGUUAUGACACCAUCAAUUCUGAUAAGGAACGUUUGGAUUAAUUAAUUCCGCAUAUGCAUACACACUGGUCAAUAUUUUCUAACCAUCUACCCCACAUGUUUUUAGUUGAUUAAACUAGGAAUUUUUCACAUUCCUUUUUACGAUAUGCAGUUCGUUUUGACUAUAUAAAUUAAUAUAUUUAUGACAUUAAUUAUUAUUUGAUUUUUAUUACCGUUUAUUUAAUCAAUAGAUUAUUUAGAAUACAACGAUCGAUCGACCUAAUGAUGAUGACGCUAGGGCCACUUACCUCCAUAAACUUUCCCCUUCUAAAUAAAAUUAAUUAACACACACACACACACACACAAAAUCCCAUAUGGACUACAAAGUAAUCGAAUUUUCUAUUCCCAAACAUAUUCUAGUGACCCUCUAAUCCUAAUCCUAAUCCUAAUCCUAAUCCAGGUUAAAUUUUGUUUUUAUUCAUGGUGGAUGGUUACCAAAACCACUGCAAUUAAAAUGCACGCGUCUUAUACUGGAUGUGAGUUUCCUUUUAAAGUGACAUUUUAUAACUUUUUUUUCUUAUUUUAUAUGAAGAUUUUUCUAUGAUUUUGUAUGAAAUUUUACCCAAAUAAUAAUCUUGUGAACCCUUGGAUUUAAGUCACCAUUGGUUUAAUUUAGUAUUAUAUAUAACUAACUACUUAAUAAUAAUUACUAUGUAAUAUUGAAGUUGCUGAGUUAUUUGCAGGUUCAUAGAUAUAAUUUUAUUUUUAAGUAAUUAAAAAAUGUUUUCUAAUCACUAAAAAAACAUUAACCAUAAGUGUACAUGAUAAAUAUGAAUUAGAAAAUCUUCAACAACACAUGCAUGUUGAUAGAAUAGUGAUCCCUUUUAUCAUGUAUAAUUGUAACAGUAUAAUUUUAAAUACUUGAUUUUACUCAUUGGCAUUACCCCAAUCUUUACUAAUCUAGCAAGUCUUUGUGAAGAAGCGAGACAAGAUGAAAAAUAUAGAAGUUUAGAUAAACUAUAUUUGUUCGUUGUUAUUAUUUAACCUUAAAUAAAAACUUUUUUGGAUAUCAUUUUGAUUAAAUUUUUAAUUAUUAAAAUUAAAAUAUCAUCCUAACUAAAUUCCAAUUUUAUCAAUCAUUGAUCAAAUCUAAUUGUAUAUAUUUAUAUCGCAAGUGAUACAGUAAUUUUAUAACUGCUAUACAGGGAUGACAUCAGCAUCGUCCGCAACGAGUUUACUGUUACCACCCACACCCGCACCCGUUGUGGGUUUUAAUUUUUUAGAAAAAUCAACUUGCUACGGGUUUUGAUAAUUACCAAACCUGCAAUGGUACCCAGAGGAUUCUCACAUUUAAAAUCACAAAUGUACAAUAUGUAAAUUUUAUAUUAAUAACCUGAAAUUCCACAAUUCUAAAUUUAUCAAUGUAAAUAGAAAAUUAAAAUUUCAACAUUAAUUCAACAUAAACUCUCAAAUUUAAGUAUGAAAUAUAUAAAUCCAUUAAAAAAAAACCACAAAUGUAAUGAAAAAUUCAUGGGUUUGCGGCUGCGGAUCACGGGUGAAAGGGAAAUGGGUGUGCGGCUGUUGCUCACAGGUGAAAGGGAAAUAGUUUGGAAGGCUAGGCUUUGCGGCUGCCGCUUAUAAGUGAAAAUGAAAUAGUUUGGGUUUCCUUUAGGUUGGGUUAUGAGUUACAACUUACACACACCACACAUGACAUGUUUACACUUUACAUUUAUUUAAUUUAUAUAUUUUUAGAUUUAAUUAUUUUUUUAUUUAAAAUUACAUUGAAAAUAUUUGAGAAAAAAAAACUGCGGGUUUGGCGGAUAUCCCUGCGGCUAUCCAUCGGAUAUUUAGCUAAUACCAAACUCAGCCGCAACGUAAUGUGGGGUUCAAUUUUUAAUACUAAACUCGCCCACAACCUAUAAAAUUACCCACAACGGGCGAAUUUUGACAGGUGAAUUUAGACAAAUUUACGGGUGCCAUUGCCAUCCCUACUGUAGUAUUAAAAAAUGACCCCUUAUAUAUAGAAAUAUAUCCUAGUACGGGCUACAGACAGUGACCUAAUUAGAGGAGUGCUUAUAUUUUAAUUUCAUGGAGAAAAUGAUACCACGUAGAUUAACCAAAUCAAAUAAAUUCAACUCGGUGGUUAGACGAGUUAGUGCUUUGAUGACUCAAAACCGAGGGCACUAAGCCAAGUUGGACGAUUAAUUAACAAUUAAAUCAAUAUUUUAGAGGCACUAAUACUCGUUUCCACAUGGUUAAUGUUGGAAAAAAAGACCUUGGGUGUGAUUGACCAUCUGUCAUUCAAACCCUUAUCUCGCUUGUUUUCAUUCAUAAGAUUUCACGUAGAGGAAUCAAACAUGACUACAACUGUUAUCGCUUCAUGCUUAUGGAGGGUAUCAUUGAAUUCUUCGAGUAGCGACAAGCAGCUAAAAAACAACCGAUUAAUAAGCUUUUACGCAUUCAACUAAAAAGCCCACAUGAAAUAUUAGGCACAUAGUGGGUACUAGGUCUCCCGCCGCUAGCUUUGAAUUAAAUUCCCCUUUUGCGAGCAAGUUGAGAGCUAAAUUUUCAUCGUCACGACAAAUUAUUGGUCACAUGAAUGCAAGGUCUAAGAAGCUUCUAUUGACCAUAAAAUCUUCUCACAAUUUAUUAAUUAAGAAAAUAACUGCAGUACUAUAUUGUUUGGUACAACAUUUUUAUUCUCUCUCUUCUACUUCUCUUGAAGAAAUUAAAAUUUUAAAUUUUAAAAGAAUCCCCAAACUUAAAAUAUAUUAUGUAUAAUAUCAAUGGGGGUUUCAAAAAUGUGUAUAAUUGGAUUGUAUAAAAAAAAAUAGAGAUUUUAGUGCGGUAUAGAAUUUUAAAAACUGGAUAUAAGAAUUUACUCCUAAAAUAAUUUUUAUGAAUAGAAUUCACAUAAGUAAUUUUGAGUUUAAUAGAUAUAAGACUGAUUAAAUCUCAACCAUUCAAUAUUAGUAUUAAUAGCACUUAAUCAUAAGAAGAUACUAAUUCUUUGAAUUCAUCUAUCUAUUUAUUAGAGGAUUACACAUUACUCGCAAGAGUACUAAGCAAGAUUCGGUGGGUAAAGAAAAAUAAAAACCAUUUGGCAAUUUGAAAUAUAUAUAUAGCAUAUAUAAGACAUAAAGGUCCUGGCCUACUGCCUAUGCAUGUAGGUCGUGAAUCUUGUGACUUUAGAAGUCUACUUAUGAUGUUUGGUAGUGGCUACACACGGGGGAAUAAACGAAAAUGAUGAUUUUCCUUUUCCUUAAUUCCUAGACCGCCAACUUUUUUGCGUGCCCCCAACACAACUUAUAUAAACUAAAAUCAUGUGUACGCAUAACAAGCAAAAGCAGGAGCAGCAUAAAAACUAGAUAACAACCCACUUCGCAAAAAGGAGGCGCGUCCCAUUAAUAAUCAAAUUAAUUGUACAUAUAUUAAGAUAAUUAUAACUCAUUUAUGUCGGUAUCUUAAAUACCAAUUCAUGGAUUGGUGGUGAUGAAUAAUUUAAAGAAAAAAUUAAACCAGGUCACUGAUAGCUGCAUAAAGCUGGGGGCCUGGGGAAUUAAUUGUGUAAGCCACCAACGGAGACAUAACAUCCGAGACAAAGGAACUCUCGUUCCACGCACGUCUCUCUCUUUCUCUAUAUAUAUAUACAUGUAAAUAAGAUUAAAGUACUUGCUAUAGCUAUCUUAAUUUGGCUUUCAAGUCAUUAUUGGAGAUCAAUAUUCAUUCAGAUUUAACGGCACAAGGCAACCAUGUCCAAAAUUUUAUCCCAGUGAGAACAAACGCAAUGAAUUGAAACCGAAAGGAGAUGAUGAUUGCCGUUUACGCCCGAGCAUGCUCACUGUGUGGAAGAGAUCAAGCAUGAGCUUCCAAGGCACUGAUGGGUUCACAGUGUUUGAUCAGCAAGGGAGAUUAGUUUUCCGUGUUGAUAAUUACUCGCGGAAUCAUCCUUGUGUUGCUGCUUCCGGUCUAGUGCUCAUGGACGGAGCUGGCAAUGCUCUGCUUUCUUUAAAACCCCAGGUAUAUAUACGUGUGUGUGUGUGUGUGUGUGUGUGUGUGUGUGUGUUGUGCAAAGGCUUUACAACACCGCACUUUAUGAAUCUCUGAUGAAACUUUUGUGCAUGGCUAUGGACAGAUACUGAGCAUGCAAAACCAGUGGAACGCGUACAGGGAAGAGGAUGGAUGUGGAAAGAGCAGUCCGAGGUGUAAAGUAUUUUCGAUGAGGAGCUCAUCGAUGGCGUUCUUCGGUGGCGGCAAGGAUAAGGCGGAGGUGUUCAUGGGGUCAGCAUCAGGACGAGGUAGACAACAAAGGGGGACGACGCCGGAUUUCAGGAUUGAGGUUCUUUCAGGAAUCGAAACUGCAAGAUAAGUAAUGCGGAAGGACAAGUCGUGGCCAAGAUUGCGAGGAAGAGAGUCAUGAACUCUACCGUAAUGCUAAGCGACGACGUUUUUAGCUUAGUUAUACAACCUGGUUAUAGCAGUGAGCUUAUUAUGGCUUUUGUAAUUGUACUGGAUCGCAUCUCCACCAAGCCGUAUACUCCUGCUUUGUGUUCUUGAUGACUUUGUACUUUUUUCUUCUUUUUGUGUACACAAAAAGCCCACGUAAAUAAUUCAUACAAGUUUUGGAUUUUGCUUCCUUGGCCGUGGCCAAUGGGAAGAAGAGAUAGCUGGACAGGAGUCAUCAAAAGAUUUUGUUCACAAGCAUGCAAUAUUGCGCUUGAAUUGAUGACACGAUUGUUCAUCUUGUAAAAUAAAUAAAGAAAUCAUAUAUUUAAAUUCGAUCAGUAGUCCGGAAUCAAGGGAAG